CGGGUGAGUAACACGUGGAUAACCUACCUAUAAGACUGGGAUAACUUCGGGAAACCGGAGCUAAUACCGGAUAAUAUUUUGAACCGCAUGGUUCAAAAGUGAAAGACGGUCUUGCUGUCACUUAUAGAUGGAUCCGCGCUGCAUUAGCUAGUUGGUAAGGUAACGGCUUACCAAGGCAACGAUGCAUAGCCGACCUGAGAGGGUGAUCGGCCACACUGGAACUGAGACACGGUCCAG
rnacentral:rRNA from 1 species